rnacentral:rRNA from 1 species
UACAGAGGUGGCAAGCGUUGUUCGGAAUUACUGGGCGUAAAGGGCGCGUAGGCGGUUUCGUAAGUCCCGUGUGAAAGCCCCCGGCUCAACUGGGGAACUGCACGGGAAACUGCGAGGCUUGAGUUCGGGAGAGGGAAGCGGAAUUCCGGGUGUAGCGGUGAAAUGCGUAGAUAUCCGGAGGAACACCGGUGGCGAAGGCGGCUUCCUGGACCGACACUGACGCGGAGGAGCGAAAGCUAGGGGAGCAAACGGG